AUACUUGCCUGGCAGGGAAGAUACCAUGGUCGCGAGGGUGGUUUUCCCAGGGCGAGGCUUAUCCAUUGCACUCCUGGUGUGCUGACCCCUGCGAUUUCCCCAAGUGUGGGAAACUCGACUGUAUGGUUUGUGGUAGUGGAGGACUGCGUUCGUGAUGUCCCCUG
ensembl:snRNA U1 U1 spliceosomal RNA